UACGUAGGUGGCAAGCGUUAUCCGGAUUUAUUGGGCGUGAAGGGUGCGCAGGCGGUCUGUUAAGUUUGAGGUGAAAUCGUUGAGCUCAACUCAAUCAAGCCUCGAAUACUGGCAGACUUGAGUGCAGGAGAGGGUAUUGGAAUUCCAUGUGUAGCGGUAAAAUGCAUAGAUAUAUGGAGGAACACCGGUGGCGAAGGCGGAUACCUGGCCUGUAACUGACGCUCAGGCACGAAAGCGUGGGGAGCAAAUA
rnacentral:rRNA from 1 species